rnacentral:rRNA from 1 species
UGGGGAAUUUUGGACAAUGGGCGCAAGCCUGAUCCAGCAAUGCCGCGUGCAGGAUGAAGGCCUUCGGGUUGUAAACUGCUUUUGUACGGAGCGAAAAGGUCUGCCCUAAUACGGUGGGCUCAUGACGGUACCGUAAGAAUAAGCACCGGCUAACUACGUGCCAGCAGCCGCGGUAAUACGUAGGGUGCGAGCGUUAAUCGGAAUUACUGGGCGUAAAGCGUGCGCAGGCGGUUAUAUAAGACAGGUGUGAAAUCCCCGGGCUCAACCUUGGACCUGCAUUUGUGACUGUAUAGCUAGAGUACGGUAGAGGGAGAUGGAAUUCCGCGGGUAGCAGUGAAAUGCGUAGAUAUGCGGAGGAACACCGAUGGCGAAGGCAAUCCCCUGGACCUGUACUGACGCUCAUGCACGAAAGCGUGGGGGGCAAACA